UACGAAGGGUGCAAGCGUUACUCGGAAUUACUGGGCGUAAAGCGUGCGUAGGUUGUUCGUUAAGUCUGAUGUGAAAGCCCUGGGCUCAACCUGGGAAUGGCAUUGGAUACUGGCGACCUAGAGUGCGGUAGAGGGUGGCGGAAUUCCCGGUGUAGCAGUGAAAUGUGUAGAGAUCGGGAGGAACACCGGUGGCGAAGGCGGGUCUCUGGGCAAUUCCUGACGCUGAGGCGCGAAAGCGUGGGGAGCAAACAGG
rnacentral:rRNA from 1 species